GGAGGCAGACUCACAUAAAUGCUGUAUUAGACUUUCUCCCUCAGACCGCGCACAUAAACAAUCCCUCACUACGGCUUUACAUCUGCGCGCAUCAUCACUGGCACAAUACACAGGAUCACACACUUUUAAAACACACACCGGACUAUAUUCUAGCCUACUUUCCUUUAGAAUAAUUCAAGGAAAAACAAAAAGAAAGAAUAGCUUUUUUUUCUUCUGUCGCUUCAUCCUCAACGAGUUCUGCAAAUAUACGUGUUACUUUUCAGCAGCUUUGGUAAUUUUUGUAAUUAUUCUGGAUCUAUACAGGAGACUUUAUGUUGGGUUAAUAACACAUGUAAAGACGGAACCGCUACAGCAAACAAACCCGGGUUCGGAAGAGCGCGCCCAGCCGAGCUCAGAGUCCCGGCUACCGGACAGUCCCUUCGAGUCCUCCCCGCUCCCGGUCCUCCACCACAGUCGCAUCAAUCCCCUGCCCCCCACACAGAACACCAUUCAGCGCGAGGCUUUCACACCAGAUCUAUGGCAUUCUGACAAUGAACAAGCACGCUCAGUUUUUGGAACGGAUGCAUUGUGUCCAGUUGAAAUGCACACCUCGAGGUUAGAGACUGCUUCUCUCUGAUCAUCAUACCACACACGUACACGUACACGUGCACACACACACGCUUAUCCAGCCAGGUCACCCGUUAUACAAUUCAGUAUUCAACUUCCAUCCAUGUCUGUGCAAGUGGGGAGAUGACCUGGAAGUUGUUUUCGAUAUGUUUGUUUUAAGCCUAUCCCAAACCUUAACUUUACCUUAACCAUUCGAAGUUCAUGUCUGAACUUUACCCUAAAUUGAACAUAUAAUCUUAACCUUAAACACACGAAAUUUGAAUUUUGGAACAACUUCGAAAUUUGACGUUCCAGUAAGUGGAUGAACGUCUAAUUCUGUCGUGAGACUCUGAGAGCUGGUAGUAUUUAUCUGCCUGGCUUGUCUGUCCUGAACCCUCACUGUUUAACACACAUGUAGUUUAAGCACACACUCAUACAUGCAUGCACUCAAAUACUCAUGCAUGUUGUACACACACGCAUACACACACAUUCUCCACUGACACAUACACUCUGACACACGCACAAACUUGCUGUCAGGUGGAGGUCGUGGUGUUUGAAUGAAAAGGGUGUUUUCGGUUUUUGGGAUAUAAUCUGGUGUCAUUAGAGUGCUUCUGGCUUGGUUUUAACAUAACACUGCAUCGUCUGAAUAUGUGUGUGUGUGUGUGUUUACUCAGAAGUAGAUGUAUGUGCAUAGGGGCACGGUGAGGAUAAGGUACACACAUCAGUUAGGUUGUGUUUAUAUCAUCACUAUGUGUGUGAAUGGGUGUGUGUCCAUACGUGCAUGUGUGCGUUUGACUUCAGGCAAGGUAGGUUGAGUAGUCUUAUAAGGAGGCGUUUCAAUUGGAAUUAAACACAUCAGCCCCCCCUCCCCCACUGUUGGACAGGUCCAGGAAAAAUCUCUCUCUCUUCCUUUUCUCCCCUUGAAGACACAGGCAGUUACAAAUCCCCUUCAUCUCUGUACACCUGUAGGUCUGUUUCCGCGUGGGUAGUGCAACUGCCUGGGUCACUCGCGAGGCCGUCAUAGAAAUAAAAGAAAAC